UACGUAGGUGGCAAGCGUUGUCCGGAUUUACUGGGCGUAAAGGAUGCGUAGGUGGAUAUUUAAGUGGGAUGUGAAAUACCCGGGCUCAACUUGGGUGCUGCAUUCCAAACUGGAUAUCUAGAGUGCAGGAGAGGUAAGUGGAAUUCCUAAGUGUAGCGGUGAAAUGCGUAGAGAUUAGGAAGAACACCAGUGGCGAAGGCGACUUACUGGACUGUAACUGACACUGAGGCAUGGAAAGCGUGGGAGCAACAGG
rnacentral:rRNA from 1 species